rnacentral:rRNA from 1 species
GGGNNGCGAGUGNCGGACGGGUGAGGAAUNCNUCGGAAUCUNCCUUNUUNGUGGGGGAUNACGUAGGNAAACNUACGCUAAUNCCGCAUACGNCCUUCGGNNGAAAGCAGGGGACNUUCGGNCCUUGCGCGGAUAGAUGAGCCGAUNUCGGAUUAGCUAGUUGGCGGGNUAAAGNCCCACCAAGGCGACGAUCCGUAGCNNNNNNGAGAGGANGAUCAGCCACACUGGAACUGAGACACGGUNCNNNNUCCUACGGGAGGCAGCAGUGGGGAAUAUUGGACAANGGGCGCAAGCCUGAUCCAGCCAUACCGCGUGGGUGAAGAAGGCCUUCGGGUUGUAAAGCCCUUUUGUUGGGAAAGAAAAGCAGUCGAUUAAUACUCGGUUGUUCUGACGGUACCCAAAGAAUAAGCACCGGCUAACUUCGUGCCAGCAGCCGCGGUAAUACGAAGGGUGCAAGCGUUACUCGGAAUUACUGGGCGUAAAGCGUGCGUAGGUGGUUGUUUAAGUCUGUUGUGAAAGCCCUGGGCUCAACCUGGGAAUUGCAGUGGAUACUGGGCGACUAGAGUGUGGUAGAGGGUAGUGGAAUUCCCGGUGUAGCAGUGAAAUGCGUAGAGAUCGGGAGGAACAUCCAUGGCGAAGGCAGCUACCUGGACCAACACUGACACUGAGGCACGAAAGCGUGGGGAGCAAACAGGAUUAGAUACCCUGGUAGUCCACGCCCUAAACGAUGCGAACUGGAUGUUGGGUGCAANNNNNCACGC